CAAAAAGUAGUUUAUGGAAAAUUUAAACUUUGGAAGUUUAAGAAGCUUUUUAAGUCUUUUUGA
rnacentral:tRNA from 1 species